rnacentral:siRNA from 1 species
GAGGCUAUCAGAGAUUGGCCUAGA